UUGUCCUGGGUUCAACGGCGUCAAGAUGCUGAUAUUUUGCCAGGUGAUCAGCUGGUUUUCUUCCUCCUCAAUGUGAUUGAAUUGUUGGGCUUGCUUUUGACCUUCAGACCAUUUCUACAAGAGCCUGAAGACAACAUUUCUAAGUCCAAAAAUGACAGCGCAGAUCAAUCAGAAAAUGGCAUACAAGAGACGCUCUCACUAACAGAGUUGCCUUGAGUUACCAAAAUAAGCAACUAUAUCACAAGUCAAAUAUACGGACAAAAUCUUCUUUUGCUUAGAAUAAUUUACAAUCAAUUUCUAUUAUAUUAUUUUGAUUGUUUCUUCACCAAAA